ACAAACAAAGAUAUAAUUACUACAGGUGCUCCUGCUGGACCCUCGGAUAAAAAAGCCCCACACAGAUGUCCUUCCCCUGGAGCCAACAUGAUCUUUAGGAGAUGUAAGAAUGCAGCAGUGAUCAGGAUUCCCAGACUCUGGACGUGUAUCUGACUGGACGUGUGUGAAGACCCUCACACACAGCUCCUCCCUGCAGCAGGUGUGAGGAGAGACCUGGUGAAGUGGAACAGAGAGACUGACCUUCUGCACAAUUCUGAUACUCAGGCUGAGCUCACGUUCUCCUGAUGCUGUAUCAGGAAUCUGUCGUGUUUGUGCAGACUGGCUUCAGGAGGAGGCUCUUCACCCACCACAGGAAAAUGCUAAACUAUUCCAUGGACAAUGAAGAGCCCCGAGAGCAGAAGAGCGAGAGCAGGGAGGAGUCCAUUCUGGCCUGUCUGGGGAUCGCAGGAACCAUCCUCAACCUGCUGGUCAUCAUCUUUGUCUACAUCUACACUUCCCUUUGAAAUAAAAGGAAAUGCGGACUAAAAAAAACUAAACCUGGACUAUGGAAUCUACAGUAGCUCUUUCAGGGGGCAAUGGGCAUUCGCUGAACAUCAGAACAGCUAAACCUUAUUUCUCUGUCAUUGUUAGUUCAUAGCAGCCUUACAUGGUUAAACAAUUAACCAUAAAUAAUGUCAUGGUUUUUGUAUAUUUA
rnacentral:lncRNA from 1 species